rnacentral:SRP_RNA from 1 species
GCUGGGCGUGGUGGUGUACGCCUGUAAUCCCAGCUACUUGGGAGGCUGAGGCAGGAGAAUUGCUUGAACCCAGGAGGUGGAGAUUGCAGUGAGCAAAGAUCACGUGACGGCAUUCCAACCUGGGCAACACAGCAAGACUCUGUCUCAA